UACGGGGGGGGCAAGCGUUGUUCGGAAUUACUGGGCGUAAAGGGCCAGUAGGCGGCCAACUAAGUCAGAUGUGAAAUCCCCAGGCUCAACCUGGGAACUGCAUCCGAUACUGGAUGGCUUGAAUUCGGGAGAGGGAUGCAGAAUUCCAGGUGUAGCGGUGAAAUGCGUAGAUAUCUGGAGGAAUACCGGUGGCGAAGGCGGCAUCCUGGACCGACAUUGACGCUGAACGGCGAAAGCUAGGGGAGCAAACGGG
rnacentral:rRNA from 1 species